CCGUAUCGUACGUCACGUCGUACUCUCGACUCACCGCCGGAUACCUAGGGCUGCCAAUACAAACAGGGACGAUUUAUCGAAAUAAUGCCAUUACUGCUUAAUUGCCGACUCGCAUCUUCGAGUGCCUAACGAGCAAACGCUGCUUUUUUGUUUUUCAUACCUAAUGAUUUUGCGAGUCACCAAGUUUUUGGAAUCAAUGGAAAUUGUAGAUAUAUUGGCAGAUUCGCUUCACGGCAUUAUUAUCAUUAUUAAAGCUUGAAACUGGAACGAGUUUUCAGAUUCUACAACUAAGAAAAGUAUCCAUUUUUCAGAAAUAUAUUUUGCUUCUGACUCGAAAAACUAAGAAAUUUAAAUUGGUAAACAACAAGCCUUCAAAAAGUUAAAAGGAAGCAAAUAAGCUCGAUAACAUAUAUAACUCAUCGCUCAAAAACUAGAUUUUUACAACAAUAAUUCGUAUGCCAUUCCGUGAAUAUGGAUUAGUCAUAAAGACACGUGUUCUUUAACAACGACGUAAAGAUCUUAGUCAGCUGAUAAAGUCCAUCAAUACAAAUAAAUGGAGAAUAAAUUAAAAUAAUCAUAAUGACAGUUAACAUCGAAUGACUGAAUGCAUACAUUUUGCAGUGAGUACAAUCUUCGACGAUAAAUACUAGCCGCGUAUUUUCAUGAGAAAUAAUUCUUUUAACGCGCUAAAUGUUUAUAUUCAAGUAUUGGUAGACAAAAAAUACCCUGCGUAAGGUUAACAACAAUAGUACAACAAUAGCCUACAAUUAUCAAUAACUUUAGUAA